rnacentral:rRNA from 1 species
GGUCGGUGUACUUGUCAAACGUUCGGUAGCCCCGGGUCGUUGAGGUCUCAGGAUACCUCGUAAGUAGAACCAACAGUCGGAAAAGCUCUACGUACACGCGGGAGACGGACGCGCGGCGCACGCGCAGCACGCGACGCGGUUUCGCGUGUCGGCGUGCUUGGGAUCGGGGGUUGGGCGUCGGCGGUGUUAGAAGGGAGGAAUGAAGGAGCAGUUGUGUCCGCGGCGUGGGGAGGGAAGAGGGGGAAGGGCGUCGGGGUCCUCGAGGCGGCAUGGUAAGCUGCUCUAGGUGGCGGAGGGCUCCAGGUAUAGGUGGGGUCCAGCGCUCCUUCAGCGCCCUCCUCCUCUUGGGAGCAGCGUUCCUUCUACGUCCUCCUCCUCCAGUCGGCCCGCAGCGGCCGGCCUCUUCCUCCUCUCCGCCCCUACGGUCGGUUCCUCCGCCUAGCGGAGCGGAGACGACGUGACACUCGCGACGGCGACGGAGACGUAGGUGGAACGGGGCGGCAGUACCCUACUCCGAGUGGUACCUUCUCGUCGGCAUCCACGGUAUUGUAGAUUUCUCGACGUCAGCCCACCUCCACUCCUACGCAUCGAGCUAACUGUUCUCGUCCCGUCACCUAACCUAACUCCCGCGGAUGUACCGGUGCGGCGACGACGGCAGAUCUCAGCGGAACCCGGCGGCGGAGCUCACCGGAGGUAGCGGCGGGGCUCAGUUCAGGUGGUGACGGCGGUCCUUAGGGCAGGGGCCGUUCGCUGGACGACUACAACGACGACACGACCGGUCCCUCACUCAGGUGACUGUAUGCCUGUGUUCUCUAUAAGUCAAUACUCCUAAUAUCCUAUAAUUACUAUCAAGUCAGUAACUCCUAAGCUUUUCUCCGUAGUUACGAGGUCAUCUCCACCAUAACUUCAACACCGACAGUUAUCAGGAAUAUAACUACGAUUGAUGUACCGGAUAUACAAGUUCAUACUGAGGUGACUACCGGGGAAAUUUCCUAGGUAAUUCCAGCACCUACUAAGUUAUGACCUCUAAUUACGCUUUUUUUAGUGUUGGUGUUCGUUUUCCAUUUAUACGGUCCCAAUCGACUAAUAAAAGGUAUAAUCACGCCAACUAUAUCUACAACACCAAAGAUUUAUACGUACUGUACAACAGGACUUUAUUCCUGUACACUUCGUUACUUCAGCGGUUUCAUUGUAAUAAUGAAUUAUUAACUAUAUAUCAAAUCUCGGGGUACAAAAAACGUGUAAGUAUGCCUGUAUAUUAUCGAAUGUUCACGUGCGAACAACAUGUAGGGCUCAUGACCUACAAGGAAGAGAAUAAAACUAAGACUACAAGUAUACAACUAAAAGACGCUACCUCCCUUUCCUCUUCAGACUUACACGGUUGUUCAUCGCUGGUCACUCGAUAACAGAUACUAACCGAUACCCUCCUCAACAGAACACGACGUACCCGUAGAACGUCUAGCUAAAGGAACCAAACUACAUAGAGCCUAAGACUAAUCAGAAACUAAAGGGUGUAAACAAACCUACAAAAGAAACGUGGUUCGUGGUACGAAAAACUAGUGACCAGUUGAACGUGUCAUGAUAGAUUCGUAUCAACAACCAAGACUCGAAAACGUCGUGUAUUGUUUAAGAUCGAAAGUUCCUUAAUACUAUAACCGGUAAAGGUGACUUGUACUUCUCCCGCGUACAUGCCUGUACAUCUUUGACCUCAUUUAAUUGUAUUAGGGCAUCUUACAUCAGACCCUUAUCAUGCGGUUGAGUCACUCCGUUCAUGACCGGACAAAACGGUAGGGACACUAUUUACUUUCAAUCAAAUCCAUUAGAACCAAUAUUUUAGUAAAAGAAUUUCAAAAUUGAAUAUUGACCUGUCUUUAACAAUAACGUGGACUUAUAAACUAAUACUUAGUCAUUCUCCUUUACCCCGCAACAAUCCGCCCUGGAACGGUGACAACGGAACCCAAAACCGAAGCUUCGUGGUGGUACAUACCGAUCGGAAGGUACCGAUGUAGCUCCCAGGGUUAGACGUCCACUCGAGAAGAAAAGUAGACGUCCAAUACUGAUAUCAAACACUAAGUACCGAUGAUAUCAGGAAGGUACCGAUUUAGAGGUGGAGUUACUCUAACAUUAACACGGUCUUUGUCUGAUCCGAUUUAGAGGAGGAGUUACUCUAAAUCAAACACGUAAUUGCUGAUAUCCAAAGAAUAACAAAACCUCACCAGACGAAAGUAAAAGAGGUCAAGUCAGUACAUAAAGAAACGUGGGUACAAGCGAAGUCAUAAGGGAAGGCUAAGAGUGUGAAACCAACGCCGAAGAAACAAAUACAACCUUCAUAAUCUGUCUAUUAAACAAGUAAAUUCAACAGAGGAGAAACAGGAGAACACAGUGUAAUUUAGUACCAUAUUAUCUAUUAAGUCAAUUGACUAACAAACGGUAUAAUCACGUCAACUAUAUCUACAGUACCAAAGAUUUAUACGUGCUGUACAACAGGACUCUAUUCCUGUCACUUCGUUACUUCACCGGUUUCAUUGUAAUAAUGAAUUAUUAACUAAGUAUCAAAUCUCGGGGUACAUAAAGCGUGUAAGUAUGUCUAUAUAUUAUAGAAUGUUCACAUACAACAACAUGUAGAACUCAUGAUGUACAAGGAAGAGAAUAAAACUAAGACUACAAGUAUAUGACCAAGAAUGACUUAAGACCGCAACUAAGGUUAAAAAACGCCUUGAGGUCCUGGGGCACGUCACACGUAACCUGUCACAACACCUCCCAGGUUAAAGGAGUACUAAAUUCUUCGAGCCACAUCAUGGUUUGUAUUAAACUCUUGUGACCGAACAAAACAUCAGGUAAGGGUCGUGUACACAAGCCUUCUGACCUGUGAAGAACAUGAAUGAGCUUUAAAAGAAAAGUAUUUUUCAAGGAACCUUCCCUAACGUUUCAAAUUGCUCGUACAGGGAAAAUGUAGAUAAAUGUCACACAAAAGAAAACCAAAGUGGUGUAAAAAUCCAAGUGUAAAAAAUGUCUAACGCAUAUAAUAUCCUCCGUAACUACUACUUUGUACUUACGGGCAACAAGAACAGGCGAGGACUAGAGUCAUCUGGACACACUACACGAGAACUAGGAAAGAGAGAAAAAAUAAUUUACUUAGAGACUGACUCCUCCUGUACAAGAAAUUAAUCUAACGUUAGUACUUUGAAGAAAACCCAAAAGAAUAACAUGUUAUGUUUCGAAGGUUUAACAAACUAGGACCUUUAUUCAAUCGUUUAAAGACACACGUCACUCGACCCUCGGCCCCAGUAGACCAUGACAGGAAAGUGAGUAAAUUGAUAGAAUUAAACAAGUGUUUUGAGGAAGACAUCGAUUCUAAAGAAACAUGUUGUGCAUGAUUAAUAACCAGAAUAAGAAUUUAGAAUAAAGUGCAAUAAGUCGACGUCCGACCCAAUUCUAACAAAAACACGGUCUUUGUCUGAUCCGUUACGAGAUUGGAACCGUCGUUUUUAACAGAUUUAAGGCAUUUAUUCCAGCACCUUAUAGAAACUUAUGCAAGUAAAUUUAUAGAACUCAACUGGACAUACCCAACGAAGACACGUGUGAGAGAAACUAUACUUAAAGAUCCUCUCUUUAAGAAAGUACCAUUACUACAUAAUAACUAUAAAUGAGACAAAGAAUCCGGAUAUCCAAAGAAAAACACCCUACGUUAAUGCCGUGGUGUACUUAUACUAGGAACUCAACGUAUAAUAACGGGAAAACCUGUAUCCGUACACGGUACAUCAUAUUGUAAAUAUUUCUUACAGAACCUUUAACAUUCAUCUACUAAUGCCAAUGGGACAUUGAAAUCCUCAUUCUAUAUAUACCACUAACUUAGAUCUCUACGAACGAUUAGAUAUUGUAAUUCUAGGUCAGUGCACGUUAUACAAAAUAAGUGUCUUUGUACCUUAGUUAGACCGACUUUCAUUAGUAGAAUACCGCACCGUACUUCUCUACACACGUCUAGACUCUUUCUUCUCCUUAUUAGGUCGUCUUCUUAAACCACUUAUUCUUGUUCAACCGUAAAGAGAGAACACUUGUGUCAGUACGGACGGAAAACUAAAAUAACAAACAUGAUUACGUUUGUUCUUAAGAGAUAUCAAGAACUGCGUUGUGGCGAUUAAUGAGUUAGACGUUAUGUACUAAUAAAGACCCUCUUCAAAUCACGUACUUAAUCGUAAGACAUUUCAGGCAGAUUCGAGUAAAGAGAUCCGGUCCUAUCUAAAGAGUUACAGUAAAAACCCUAACAAAAUUGUGACUUGUUGUAACGGUCCAGUUGGCAAAGAGUACAGAAACAGUAUAGACAUCCAUAACACCACAGAGUUAAAACAGUGGUCGGAGAAAGUGGCUGGACAUUUGAUAGACAGAGCUCCAGAGGGAUUGACAUAAAACCCAAAUCUUUUUAUUUAUUGAUAAAAACCUGAAUAAAAACGUAGUCGAUGAAACAUCCAUAAUACACGCAACAAUCCCUAGACUAUAGUACAUCAAGGUCCCUAAAGUCUACCAGACCAGUCAGGUAACAAGAACGGUACACUAUGAAAGAGAGUAAUGACACUAGCAGUCACGAGAACUGUAGCCAAUGAAAAAGAAUAAUGACACUAGCAGUCACGAGAACUGUAGCCAAGAAGAAAUACCAACGGAAGGGUCACGUGAAAAUAAUGAAGAUUGUAUAAUUAAAAUUAUACGAACUAACUGGUAUAAUAUAUAAAGUGAAGUGGCCCACCAACCACCUUCACAACCAAUUUUAUAAAACCGAUUUUGUAACAGAGAUUAAUAGUUCAAAUAUGUCAACUUAGAAGAACUAACUGAUAAAACAUCAGACGAGAAUCAACAUGUUAUAAUUAAGAAUUUUGACCUAUUUAAAUUACUCAACAAAGUGACAAAAGUUUAUCCAUCGAAGUCGGGAGUGACACAGGACUUCGAAUAAGAAUGACGGAAAAGUUUAUUCAAAAAAAGGAACCGUGAUGACGGCGACACAUGUCUACCAAUGACUUUCUUCCUAAGUUCGUCGUAUGGAAGUGAACUGUCUACGAAAUUGGCGUUCUUGACAACAAUAAAAGAAAAGGAAAGGACGUUACUACCAUCAAGAGGAAACUAAGAUCUUUGGUGUUUCCUCACUUCCCAUCUCUAUAGGUAACAGCAACUUAACCACCCUAACAGCGGUUCAAUCACAACGUCUAACAAAGAUAAAAUCUCGUUCUUCGGUUUAGUACAACAAGUAAAAUUUAGAACUUUUUGAACAAAUGACAGUGAAGAUAUAGAUAAUAUUUGAAAGCAAGGACCACA